AAGUGUGUCGUUGGAGACGGGAUGCGUUUUUAGUUUUAUAUAUUAAAUCACGUCUGUGAUCUUCUUUAAAUGGUCUCGAGCAGCAGAUAAACAUGACAUCUAACGGAUGAUCAGCUUCUCAACUGAAGGGCUCCUCCUUGUGGACAUGAAGCAUAUCUUACAGAACUGAACCACAGAGGGGAAAUCACUCUUACUGACUGACUUAGAUUGCAUGGGGAAAUGCAGAUCUACCUCUGCCUUUUCCUGUGACAUUGCCUUCCAUACUUAUUCAGGUAAACUCAGCUGUGUUUUUUUUUCUAGUGCUUUUAAUAAUUACAAUAGGUUUAACCAAUAGGUGGCGACAAACAGCCAUCAAAAAUAUUUCACUGAAUAAUUCUUGAGAAAUGACACAUCUCGUAAUGAAACAUGAAGUUUUAUGAGUGAAUUAUUGAGUCAGUAAUUGAGAAUGAGGCUAAAAAUAAAUAUGACGUGUUGUACAAGAUUAUAAGGUUACAUUUAUACAUUUAUCAUUAUCAGCAACAGUAGCAAAGAUUUGUCCCAUUAUUUGACUAUUGAACUUUUUUAUUCAG